rnacentral:rRNA from 1 species
GCGGUAAAACGCACUGGAGGACCGAACCAGGGCACGUUGAAAAGUGCUUGGAUGACUUGUGGGUAGCGGAGAAAUUCCAAACGAACUUGGAGAUAGCUGGUUCUCUCCGAAAUAGCUUUAGGGCUAGCGUCGACAUUAAGAUUCUUGGAGGUAGAGCACUGUUUGGGUGAGGGGUCCAUCCCGGAUUACCAAUCUCAGAUAAACUCCGAAUGCCAAUGAAUUAUGGUCGGCAGUCAGACUGCGAGUGCUAAGAUCCGUAGUCGAAAGGGAAACAGCCCAGACCACCAGCUAAGGUCCCAAAAUAAUUGUUAAGUGGAAAAGGAUGUGGGGUUGCACAGACAACUAGGAUGUUAGCUUAGAAGCAGCUAUUCAUUCAAAGAGUGCGUAAUAGCUCACUAGUCGAGUGACCCUGCGCCGAAAAUGUACCGGGGCUAAAACAAUUUACCGAAGCUGUGGAUACCUUUAUAGGUAUGGUAGGAGAGCGUUCUAUGUGUGAAGAAGGUAUACCGUGAGGAGUGCUGGAACGCAUAGAAGUGAGAAUGCCGGUAUGAGUAGCGAAAGACAGGUGAGAAUCCUGUCCACCGUAAGACUAAGGUUUCCAGGGGAAGGCUCGUCCGCCCUGGGUUAGUCGGGACCUAAGGAGAGACCGAAAGGUGUAUCCGAUGGACAACAGGUUGAUAUUCCUGUACUAGAGUAUGUAGUGAUGGAGGGACGCAGUAGGCUAACUAAAGCAGACGAAUGGAAGUGUCUGUCUAAGCAGUGAGGUGUGAUAUGAGUCAAAUGCUUAUAUCUAUAACAUUGAGCUGUGAUGGGGAGCGAAGUUUAGUAGCGAAGUUAGUGACGUCACACUGCCAAGAAAAGCUUCUAGCGUUUAAACAUACUCUACCCGUACCGCAAACCGACACAGGUAGUCGAGGCGAGUAGCCUCAGGUGAGCGAGAGAACUCUCGUUAAGGAACUCGGCAAAAUGACCCCGUAACUUCGGGAGAAGGGGUGCUGACUUUAAGUCAGCCGCAGUGAAUAGGCCCAAGCAACUGUUUAUCAAAAACACAGCUCUCUGCUAAAUCGUAAGAUGAUGUAUAGGGGGUGACGCCUGCCCGGUGCUGGAAGGUUAAGAGGAGUGCUUAGCGUAAGCGAAGGUAUGAAUUGAAGCCCCAGUAAACGGCGGCCGUAACUAUAACGGUCCUAAGGUAGCGAAAUUCCUUGUCGGGUAAGUUCCGACCCGCACGAAAGGCGUAAUGAUUUGGGCACUGUCUCAACGAGAGACUCGGUGAAAUUUUAGUACCUGUGAAGAUGCAGGUUACCCGCGACAGGACGGAAAGACCCCAUGGAGCUUUACUGCAGUUUGAUAUUGAGUGUCUGUACCACAUGUACAGGAUAGGUAGGAGUCUAUGAGAUCGGGACGCCAGUUUCGAAGGAGACGUUGUUGGGAUACUACCCUUGUGUUAUGGCCACUCUAACCCGGAUAGGUUAUCCCUAUCGGAGACAGUGUCUGACGGGCAGUUUGACUGGGGCGGUCGCCUCCUAAAAGGUAACGGAGGCGCCCAAAGGUUCCCUCAGAAUGGUUGGAAAUCAUUCGCAGAGUGUAAAGGUAUAAGGGAGCUUGACUGCGAGAGCUACAACUCGAGCAGGGACGAAAGUCGGGCUUAGUGAUCCGGUGGUUCCGUAUGGAAGGGCCAUCGCUCAACGGAUAAAAGCUACCCUGGGGAUAACAGGCUUAUCUCCCCCAAGAGUUCACAUCGACGGGGAGGUUUGGCACCUCGAUGUCGGCUCGUCGCAUCCUGGGGCUGUAGUCGGUCCCAAGGGUUGGGCUGUUCGCCCAUUAAAGCGGUACGCGAGCUGGGUUCAGAACGUCGUGAGACAGUUCGGUCCCUAUCCGUCGCGGGCGUAGGAAAUUUGAGAGGAUCUGCUCCUAGUACGAGAGGACCAGAGUGGACUUACCGCUGGUGUACCAGUUGUCUUGCCAAAGGCAUCGCUGGGUAGCUAUGUAGGGAAGGGAUAAACGCUGAAAGCAUCUAAGUGUGAAACCCACCUCAAGAUGAGAUUUCCCAUGAUUUUAUAUCAGUAAGAGCCCUGAGAGAUGAUCAGGUAGAUAGGUUAGAAGUGGAAGUGUGGCGACACAUGUAGCGGACUAAUACUAAUAGCUCGAGGACUUAUCCAA